rnacentral:rRNA from 1 species
CCUACGGGUGGCUGCAGUGGGGAAUAUUGGACAAUGGGCGAAAGCCUGAUCCAGCAAUGCCGCGUGUGUGAAGAAGGCCUUCGGGUUGUAAAGCACUUUAGGCUGGGAAGAAAAAGCUUCACCUAAUACGUGAAGCCUUGACGGUACCAGCGGAAUAAGCACCGGCUAACUCUGUGCCAGCAGCCGCGGUAAUACAGAGGGUGCUAGCGUUAAUCGGAUUUACUGGGCGUAAAGCGUGUGUAGGCGGUUCGUUAAGUCGGAUGUGAAAGCCCUGG